UCCUCAUGCUCCCAUGAGCCAUCCUUCACCAAAUGGUUCUACAUGGUGUUUUCUGCCCGAUUCCCUGUCCUCCUUUAUGUUUGCACCCAUCCUUCCCCUAUCUGUAUAUUUAAAGCCCUAAAUGUCUGACCCUUCUCAACUGCCCCUUUCUUCAUGAAGUUGUUCCUGCUGUCCUUCAGUCAAAAGCGAUCUCAUUCACCCUUCUUCCCACCAUACUCAUCACUUUCUACCUUGCAAUAUAAAUCUUGGUGCACCUGUCUAGUCAAAUGGUUAAAGCAUAUGCAUUUUUAGGAGAGAAUCCUUGACUUAUUCAUUUUAUAACCCUUUUAUCACCUAAAGCCAUGACUUGCACCUGGGUGCUGGAGAAAUUUCUAUCUUGUGGCCAAAUUCACUGAAAAGUUUGCCAUUUUUAUGGCCAAAGAAUUUAUGAUGGUUGGGUAGAAUUUUGAAGCAGGGACCUAUGGCAAUAGAAAUGUCUGACAAUUUUGGCCGGGCGUGGUGGCUCAAGCCUGUAAUCCCA